rnacentral:tRNA from 1 species
GCCGAGGUAGCUCAACGGUAGAGCAAUCGCUUCGUAAGCGAUAGGUUGUGGGUUCGAGUCCCAUCCUCGGCU